rnacentral:rRNA from 1 species
GAGUAACGCGUAUCCAACCUUCCCUAUAGUAGGGGAUAGCCCGUAGAAAUGCGGAUUAAUACCCUAUGUUGUAUUUCGAUGACAUCUGACGAAUACCAAAGGUUCACCGCUAUAGGAUGGGGAUGCGUCUGAUUAGGUAGUCGGCGGGUAACGGCCCACCGAGCCAGCGAUCAGUAGGGUUCUGAGAGGAAGGUCCCCCCACAUUGGAACUGAGACACGGUCCAAACUCCUACGGGAGGCAGCAGUGAGGAAUAUUGGUCAAUGGGCGAGAGCCUGAACCAGCCAAGUAGCGUGCAGGAUGACGGCCCUAUGGGUUGUAAACUGCUUUUAUGCGGGGAUAAAGUGAGGGACGUGUCCCUUAUUGUAGGUACCGCAUGAAUAAGGACCGGCUAAUUCCGUGCCAGCCGCCGC